UCUCAAGUGCAAAGGUGAACGUGAAAGCUCUAUCUCAGUAUAGGCCUGAGGUGCAGGUUGUUCUGUAAAAACGAGUAGAUAUGCAUAUAUAGUGAAUAUUAGAGUAUGGUUAUGGAUGUAAAUAAACUGUUUUUAAUCUGAAGUGUAGGACGUGAAGACCAGUAAAGGGAAAAUGGCACAUAGUACAUACUCAGUUUAAACUCACCUCAGAAGACCAUGUAAGGGCUGAUGUUGGUGAAGACGUCACCCUCCCCUGUCACCUCUCACCUGAGACCAGUGAUGUUGCCAUGACAAUCAGGUGGUUUAAAGAGACAGAGUGUAUUUACCUGUAUAAGAAUGGCCAGGUGACAGAGAGGAGUGGCUAUGAGGGCAGAGUGAGUCUGAUCACCCAGGAGCUGGAGAGAGGCAACGUGUCUCUGAGGCUGAGAGACAUCAGGGAGUCAGAUGAUGGAGCCUACAUAUGUCAGGUCAUCCAUGGAGAACAGAAGGAGGAGGAUGCAGUGUGUUUAAGGGU